UCCACGCCGUAAACGAUGAUAACUCGUUGUUGGCGAUACACAGUCAGCGACUAAGGGAAACCGAUAAGUUAUCCACCUGGGGAGUACGAUCGCAAGGUUGAAACUCAAAGGAAUUGACGGGGGCCCGCACAAGCGGUGGAGCAUGUGGUUUAAUUCGAUGAUACGCGAAGAACCUUACCUAGCCUUGACAUUGAAGAAACACACUAGAGAUAGAGUGGUGCCCUUCGGGGAAU
rnacentral:rRNA from 1 species